rnacentral:rRNA from 1 species
UAUUAUUUUAGAUGUAAAUUGGUUGAAACUUGAGUAGUAGUAGUUAAGGUCUUGAAACUUAAAGAAUUUGGCGGUAUUUUAGUCUAUUUAGAGGAAUCUGUUCCAUAAUCGAUAAUCCACGUUGGACCUUACUUAAUUUAUUUAAUAUGUAUACCGCCGUUGUUGAAGAUCUUUUUAGGGUAAAAAUUUUUAUAAUAUUUAUUAGAUAAUUUUUCAGGUCAAGGUGCAGUUUAUAAUUAAGUGGAAAUGGAUUACAAUAUUUUAAUAUAUACGGAUUAUUGUUUGAAACUAAUAAUAUAAAGGUGGAUUUAAUAGUAAUAUUAUUAAGAUUAAUAAUAUGAUUAUAGCUCUAAAAUAUGCACACAUCGCCCGUCGCUCUCGUUAUGCUAAGGGGAG